AUGAACGCUAGCGACAGGCUUAACACAUGCAAGUCGAGGGGCAGCGGGGGUAGCAAUACCCGCCGGCGACCGGCGCACGGGUGAGUAACGCGUAUGCAACUUACCUAUCAGAGGGGGAUAACCCGGCGAAAGUCGGACUAAUACCGCAUGAAGCAGGGAUCCCGCAUGGGAAUAUUUGCUAAAGAUUCAUCGCUGAUAGAUAGGCAUGCGUUCCAUUAGGCAGUUGGCGGGGUAACGGCCCACCAAACCGACGAUGGAUAGGGGUUCUGAGAGGAAGGUCCCCCACAUUGGUACUGAGACACGGACCAAACUCCUACGGGAGGCAGCAGUGAGGAAUAUUGGUCAAUGGCCGAGAGGCUGAACCAGCCAAGUCGCGUGAGGGAUGAAGGUUCUAUGGAUCGUAAACCUCUUUUAUAAGGGAAUAAAGUGCGGGACGUGUCCCGUUUUGUAUGUACCUUAUGAAUAAGGAUCGGCUAACUCCGUGCCAGCAGCCGCGGUAAUACGGAGGAUCCGAGCGUUAUCCGGAUUUAUUGGGUUUAAAGGGUGCGUAGGCGGCCUUUUAAGUCAGCGGUGAAAGUCUGUGGCUCAACCAUAGAAUUGCCGUUGAAACUGGGGGGCUUGAGUAUGUUUGAGGCAGGCGGAAUGCGUGGUGUAGCGGUGAAAUGCAUAGAUAUCACGCAGAACCCCGAUUGCGAAGGCAGCCUGCCAAGCCAUGACUGACGCUGAUGCACGAAAGCGUGGGGAUCAAACAGGAUUAGAUACCCUGGUAGUCCACGCAGUAAACGAUGAUCACUAGCUGUUUGCGAUACACUGUAAGCGGCACAGCGAAAGCGUUAAGUGAUCCACCUGGGGAGUACGCCGGCAACGGUGAAACUCAAAGGAAUUGACGGGGGCCCGCACAAGCGGAGGAACAUGUGGUUUAAUUCGAUGAUACGCGAGGAACCUUACCCGGGUUUGAACGCAUUCGGACCGAGGUGGAAACACCUUUUCUAGCAAUAGCCGUUUGCGAGGUGCUGCAUGGUUGUCGUCAGCUCGUGCCGUGAGGUGUCGGCUUAAGUGCCAUAACGAGCGCAACCCUUGCCACUAGUUACUAACAGGUAAAGCUGAGGACUCUGGUGGGACUGCCAGCGUAAGCUGCGAGGAAGGCGGGGAUGACGUCAAAUCAGCACGGCCCUUACAUCCGGGGCGACACACGUGUUACAAUGGCGUGGACAAAGGGAAGCCACCUGGCGACAGGGAGCGAAUCCCCAAACCACGUCUCAGUUCGGAUCGGAGUCUGCAACCCGACUCCGUGAAGCUGGAUUCGCUAGUAAUCGCGCAUCAGCCAUGGCGCGGUGAAUACGUUCCCGGGCCUUGUACACACCGCCCGUCAAGCCAUGGGAGCCGGGGGUACCUGAAGUCCGUAACCGCGAGGAUCGGCCUAGGGUAAA
rnacentral:rRNA from 1 species